CCCAUUCAAGACCUAGACCUAAGUGAUAGAGAUAGACCCUCCCCACUCUGAAAAGAACAAAAAUGACACUCUCAUCUGGAAGAAGCUCUCAUCUUCAACAGUGCAACCAUGACCCCUCCCCUUUAAUCCUCUAAAAGGAAACGCAGCAGCGGCGCAAGAGAGGGCCAAAAAAUGGGAAAAUCAAUCUCUUCUUCUUCUCCGUCUUCUUCACUCUCUCUAAUGGUCGUCACGGCCGACUCAUGUCAGUGACCAUCGACGACCACACUGCACCCCUGCUCUUCCUCUCUCAUUCUCACCAGCGAGUUAAGGCCAGAAUCCGGCCAGCCACCGAACCCCCAUGAUUUCCUCCUCCGGACAGACUCCUUUUCUUGAAGAAUAUAUAUAAAAAAUAAUAACAAAAAGAGAAGAUUGGAAAAGCUGGUCUGAUUUCUACUGCUUUGGUUAAAAAAUUUCUGGUGGAUUGAGUCAAUUUCGGACCUAAAUCGAAGUUGUGCUGUUGUUUGCGCAUCUCUGGGCUCUUCUCGUCUUCGCGCGCUUGAUUUGGCUUGUAAAUAUUUCGUUUGGUUGGCUUCAAAUUAGCUGAGUUUGAUCGUCUGGAUUUCAGACCUUUAUUUGGUCUCAGUUUCCAUUGAUUUCCUGUUUUAGGUAAGUUACACUAGUCUGUAAUCACUUAUUGAAUUUAUGACUGGAACAUGAGUUUGUUUAUGCUAAAUUACUGUUUCUACUUAUGUUUUUGAAAUGGUAUGUUCAAUUUGAAAUCAUUUGUCAUCUUAGUUGAGCUUUGCUUUUAGUGCUGACUGUUAGAGAUAUUGAUUCAAUUUGUGGUUUGAAGUUAGAAUCGAUUAGUCCAUGGAUUUGACCACUAGUUGGUCAAAUUCAACAAUUGAAGGUGUCUCAAGCCCAAAUCAAGCCAUUAUGAGACAUCGUGAGCUAAUGUUUGUCAAGUUGAAAGGCGUUGCGGAUGAAAUUGAAGGUUACAACUAUUAUAGCAAUUCAUCAAGUGUAGUAAACUUAAUCAGUCAGGAUUAUGUAGUUUGCUUUCUUAUUAUAGUUGUAAUCUAAUAAAAAAAGCCAUGUAGUUGUAAUUUGAAGUUUCCCUUAUAUGUGUAGUUCAUCUUUAAUUCCUGAAUAUUUGUUUGAUAAAAUGAUUCAAAUUAGUAUGAAUGUUUAAG
rnacentral:lncRNA from 1 species